UGGAUGAUAAUUUCAGUUCAGUUCUGGGAAGCAUGUUAGUAACUCAAAUCAUGCUAAACUAGUUCCACUGUUAUUUAAUGGUCUGGAAUUUAGGUGGCAUAAAACUUGUGUUAAUACUCCUUUUCUUCUCCCAUCUUUUGGUGGGAUGGGCACCAUGGGGCGUGGGGCAGACAAAUCUGGAAAUUUGAGACUCAAAAAGGUUGAGAAAAAUUAGUUUUAAAAAUUCGAACACCGCAUCACAAGGGUAUUUUAUUUACAUUGAUGUUUCGGCAAAUUCUGUAGAGAAGCCUCUACUCAAAUGACAUGGAUGGACCUCUCUCUCUUACAGCGAGAAAAUCAAUGACUUGCCACCGCUGAUUAUUUGAUCUCCUGUACAGUUUUCUGCCCUUAUGGCAAUGCUUAUAUUUUCAUUCUGUUUAGCACAUAUCCCUUGAAAUGCCUUCAAGCAGGGUAGGGUUGUAAACCGUUUCUCACUGAAUUGACUGUAUCAUUUUUGUGGUUCAAUUGGCCGAGGCCAACCAAAACUCCUUUUUGAGGUUGUCGAUGCAUUUUACAUUGUUUGCACCUCCUUUUAACCUCCUUUUGAUUUGUAUUUUAUUCGAUGUUGUUAUUGUGGCGUACCCCUCCGACCGGCUAUUUUACGUUUUCUGAAGGUGCUUUGUUACUCUAUGGAACAAUGACGACUUGUUCUACGCAGCGCAAUGGGAACCGUUGGCGACUGCAACAUUCUGGUGGUGCACGACCCCUGUAUUUUUGGAUUAAUUUCCUAGCCUCUGAUUUUAUAGGAUAUUUUCUUUUCUUUUCUUGGACUAGGUAGGAGGGCUUUAUUAAGUUUAUAUUUCAGCAGCAAUGGCGGUAGAAUUUAUUUUUGUUUUUGAGGGAGCUCCAUCUUUAUUGUGACUACUUCACUGAUAUUUAUUCAUUGUGCUAAGGCCAAGUAGGCUUCAGCCAUAUACGCUUGCUGCUUCUGCAUUUAGAUGUUUUGUUAUCCUUCU